rnacentral:rRNA from 1 species
GAUGAACGCUGGCGGCGUGCUUAACACAUGCAAGUCGAACGGGAUCCAUCAGGCUUUGCUUGGUGGUGAGAGUGGCGAACGGGUGAGUAAUGCGUGACCGACCUGCCCCAUACACCGGAAUAGCUCCUGGAAACGGGUGGUAAUGCCGGAUGCUCCGACUCCUCGCAUGGGGUGUCGGGAAAGAUUUCAUCGGUAUGGGAUGGGGUCGCGUCCUAUCAGGUAGUCGGCGGGGUAACGGCCCACCGAGCCUACGACGGGUAGCCGGCCUGAGAGGGCGACCGGCCACAUUGGGACUGAGAUACGGCCCAGACUCCUACGGGAGGCAGCAGUGGGGAAUAUUGCACAAUGGUCGCAAGCCUGAUGCAGCGACGCCGCGUGCGGGAUGACGGCCUUCGGGUUGUAAACCGCUUUUGAUCGGGAGCAAGCCUUCGGGUGAGUGUACCUUUCGAAUAAGCACCGGCUAACUACGUGCCAGCAGCCGCGGUAAUACGUAGGGUGCAAGCGUUAUCCGGAAUUAUUGGGCGUAAAGGGCUCGUAGGCGGUUCGUCGCGUCCGGUGUGAAAGUCCAUCGCUUAACGGUGGAUCUGCGCCGGGUACGGGCGGGCUGGAGUGCGGUAGGGGAGACUGGAAUUCCCGGUGUAACGGUGGAAUGUGUAGAUAUCGGGAAGAACACCAAUGGCGAAGGCAGGUCUCUGGGCCGUUACUGACGCUGAGGAGCGAAAGCGUGGGGAGCGAACAGGAUUAGAUACCCUGGUAGUCCACGCCGUAAACGGUGGAUGCUGGAUGUGGGGCCCGUUCCACGGGUUCCGUGUCGGAGCUAACGCGUUAAGCAUCCCGCCUGGGGAGUACGGCCGCAAGGCUAAAACUCAAAGAAAUUGACGGGGGCCCGCACAAGCGGCGGAGCAUGCGGAUUAAUUCGAUGCAACGCGAAGAACCUUACCUGGGCUUGACAUGUUCCCGACAGCCGUAGAGAUAUGGCCUCCCUUCGGGGCGGGUUCACAGGUGGUGCAUGGUCGUCGUCAGCUCGUGUCGUGAGAUGUUGGGUUAAGUCCCGCAACGAGCGCAACCCUCGCCCUGUGUUGCCAGCACGUCAUGGUGGGAACUCACGGGGGACCGCCGGGGUCAACUCGGAGGAAGGUGGGGAUGACGUCAGAUCAUCAUGCCCCUUACGUCCAGGGCUUCACGCAUGCUACAAUGGCCGGUACAACGGGAUGCGACACGGCGACGUGGAGCGGAUCCCUGAAAACCGGUCUCAGUUCGGAUUGGAGUCUGCAACCCGACUCCAUGAAGGCGGAGUCGCUAGUAAUCGCGGAUCAGCAACGCCGCGGUGAAUGCGUUCCCGGGCCUUGUACACACCGCCCGUCAAGUCAUGAAAGUGGGUAGCACCCGAAGCCGGUGGCCUAACCCUUUGUGGAUGGAGCCGUCUAAGGUGAGACUCGUGAUUGGGACUAAG